rnacentral:sRNA from 12 species
GAAACGCGAACCAAGCAGUCACUCGCCAGUGGCGUAAGACUUGGAGCGGACGAGCGCAAGCACGUCCUACA